rnacentral:lncRNA from 1 species
CCCGAGGCUCACGUCACAGUGACCGCCCCCGUGGCCUGGGGAACCGCCGUCUCAGCGGCUGGGCAAGGCAUGGGCCCUCCAUGGCAGUCCUUUGGCAUUGGGCAACGGCCCACCCCCGUCUUUCGGGAUCGUCGCCCAGGUCCCGUGAUUUCAGGAUUCCCGCAGGGUGGAGCCAGGCUGAGGAAAGCUGCAGGGGAGCUUCAGGGAUGCCCAGGGCGAUCCCCAAGGAUCCCCAGGAUACUUCAGGCCUGCUCAGACGCUGUGGGAAAUGCGUCUCCUUGAACGCUGUCCCUGCUGGGAAUUCCAGUUCUCCCAGAGAAGCAGAGGAGGAAAACAGAGCUUCGUUCCUGAGGGAGGAAAACAUGAGCUCUUGGAUGGCAGGAAAGAGUUCCUAGAGAGAGAAGACAAAGAGCCUUUGUGCUGCAAAAGAAACCCCAGGCUGAAGACUGGAGAUCUGAAUGUGCAACCUGCAAGGGAACUGGAGACAAUGAAACUCCUGUCAGGUAAGUUGGAUGCUAGAAGCUUGUGUGGAGGGGAUGAAGGUUCCGUGUUUAUGAUUUGCCCAUAACAGCAAACAAGUAAAACCAAACCGCAGGGUAGGACCUGCCAUAAAAUAGAAUUUAGUAAAAACAGUCCUUCAGAAACAGAUUUCAUCCACUGAUUCACCUUCCACACACGGUUACAGUCUCGACUUGUGUCCAUAAAAGUGAGAAUCUGCAUUUUUUACACUGAGAAUUAUUUUUCUCUCGACAGGUCAAGUUGACAAGGGGUCUCAGUGUAGAGGCCAUCAAAGUAAUUUUGGUCAAAACACUUGGUGGCAAGAUGAUGAAGUUUUCUGUUGAAACAAUAAAGUGACUAAAUCCGUU